rnacentral:rRNA from 1 species
AGAAGGUCCCAAGGGUUUGGCUGUUCGCCAAUUAAAGUGGUACGCGAGCUGGGUUCAGAACGUCGUAAGACAGUUCGGUCCUUAUCCUCUGUGGGCGUAGGAAAUUUGAGGAGAACAUUCCCUAGUACGAGAGGACCGGGAAUGACGUACCUCUGGUGUUCCUGCUGUCGCGCCAGCGGCAUCGCAGGGUAGCUAUGUACGGAAAGGAUAAGCGCUGAAAGCAUCUAAGCGCCAAGCCUCCUCCAAGACUAGAUUUCCCUUCUCUGUCGAAAGACAGAGACUCAAGGCCGGUCGAAGACUACGACCUUGAUAGGCUGGGUGUGUAAGUUCAGUGAUGAAUUAAGCUUACCAGUACUAAUCGGCCGUGAGGCUUGAUCUU